rnacentral:rRNA from 1 species
CCUACGGGAGGCAGCAGUAAGGAAUAUUGGACAAUGGGGGCAACCCUGAUCCAGCCAUGCCGCGUGAAGGAUGAAGGCCCUCUGGGUUGUAAACUUCUUUUAUGCGGGAAUAAACCCCUCUACGUGUAGAGGGUUGAAUGUACCGUAAGAAUAAGGAUCGGCUAACUUCGUGCCAGCAGCCGCGGUAAUACGAAGGAUCCAAGCGUUAUCCGGAUUUAUUGGGUUUAAAGGGUGCGUAGGCGGGCUAUUAAGUCAGUGGUGAAAGCCCCAAGCUUAACUUGGGAAUUGCCAUUGAUACUGAUGGUCUUGAGUACACUUGAAGUGGGCGGAAUGUGUCAUGUAGCGGUGAAAUGCUUAGAUAUGACACAGAACACCGAUUGCGAAGGCAGCUCACUAAAUUGUAACUGACGCUGAGGCACGAAAGCGUGGGGAUCAAACAGGAUUAGAUACCCUGGUAGUCCACGACCUAACGAUAGAUACUACGAUGUGUGCAUACACCGUACCGUCGUCUGAGCGAAGACAUUAAGUAAUACCACCGUCGGGUAGGUACGACCGCGAGGUUAGAACGUACGAAGAGUAGUAGACGCGUAGAGACGACGACGACGACGACGACGGAGGGAGGAGG